UACGGAGGGUGCAAGCGUUAUCCGGAUUCACGUGGUUAAAGGGUGGCGUAGGCGGGCAGGUAAGUCAGUGGUCGAAAUCUCCGAGCCUUAACUCGGAAACUGCCAUUGAUACUAUUUGUCUUGAAUAUUGUGGAGGUAAGCGGAAUAUGUCAUGUAGCGGUGAAAUGCUUAGAUAUACAUGAGAACACCAAUUGCGAAAGGCAGGCUUACUACGACCAAUGAUUGACGCUGAGGCACGAAAGCGUGGGGAGCGAACAGG
rnacentral:rRNA from 1 species